GAGAAAUUCCCUGGGGUUUAGAUCUUUUUUAAAAGGAUGUGUGUAAAAUUCUACCGAGUUUUUUAAAACUAUGCUUUAUUUCGCCAAAGUGGCGCAUUCGAGGAGAAAUUGCAAGCUCCAUUUUAGAAAACGGUUCCAAACGGUUCGCCCUGUCGUCACUAGAGGGCAGCAGAGGGACUUCUGCGACUUCCGACCCCUGGUUUUUGCAGGGACGCGGAGGGGAGACAACGCAAUCGCUUUAUUUUGGUGGAGGUGACGGAGUUUUUCUCUUCAGCAUGACCAUGUCAAGCCACCAUCCCAUACGGUCUCAGUCACCCUGAUACAGAGAAAAUAUAACUCCCGACCUGUAAGAUGUCACCCGUGCCGAAUGUACGGUCUCACAACAUCGAGAAGUCAGUCGAGGGCCAAGGGAGCAAGUCACGAGAGUCUUACUGGAAAUAAAGGAAGGAGAAGGAUAGCCCCGGAUUUCCAGGAGGGGCCGCACGAGCAGGUGGCCACAAGACCCUUUGUCAGGAUACCCUGACACCAAGUCACAACGUGGGGACAGUGUGGCCCGACUGCAGUCACCCUGCAGGAUCGCAAGUCUGGCUGCUUAGCUAACACUGAUCCACUGGGGAAACGGGUCACGCAGCAGGGUGCACGAAAAGAGGAGAACUCCUGGGAGGGGGCAUCCUGGAGCACCGGUCACCCACCUAUGCGGCUGAUGCCUGCCCAGGCCGCUGGACCCGUGGUGCUGAUUACAGGACAAUCUCGAGGUCUGCCAGAACACUGCCGCUCCUGUUCUGCUUCUGUAAACCCGAGAUCAGUGAUUUUUGCCACAAAGGAUCUGACAGGCUCUUGCAGUCCCGAGACAGGCAGCAGGGCAGAGGCGCUGACCUCAGACCAGGUACACAGGGCCUCCCUUAAGGUGCCAGCCCUCCAGGGGCCAACACAGCAAGGAACCAACAUGGAG
rnacentral:lncRNA from 1 species